GCUGGGAUAGCUCAGUCAGUAGAGCAUGAGACUCUUAAUUUCAGGGUUGUGGUCUGGAGCCCCACAUUGGGCA